AUUAUUCUAAACUGGGUGCGUGCCUUUUCUGAACUGAAGCUGGUGCGCAUCUCCGUCGUCUGGCACAUACCCUGCUCUAUUGGUGUGCCUCGUGCUCUUAUGCAGGUUCUACUGCUUGGUGCCACCACCCAUGGUUUGCAGUUGGCCUCCAUUGACUCAUUAGCUGCUGGAGCCUCUAUCUUUUCUGGAGGACUUGAGCCUAGCACCUGUUGAUGUGUGGUUUUUUCCCCGGUUAGCUGCGUGUUCAGGUAUUCACCAUGUUCACUUCUCAAGUUCACUAUGUUCUUUAUGUGAGGUUCACUUUGGUGUUCUCUGUUGGUGAACGUGAGAAGCUCUGAGCAAGAGUUCACUUACUGUCACAAAGGUCACUUGAUUACCCUGUAUAUUUGCAUCGUUUAUACGGGGUAAUCCACCUGGCAGUAAACUUCUCUAUUUCGGGUAGCUCACAAAAUGUUUACCAGUAUCACACUUGUUUAUUUGGGGAAAGAUCACUAGUUUGAACCAGGCAGUCCACUCGGUAAUAAAUAGAACAUUCAUAUUUCACUUGAGUAACGGUAUAUUAUUUGUGUUAUCACAAAAUAUGUUACAAAAGAAAGGAAUCCAUGGAAGUUCACUUUAUUCGUGGGAGAAAUUCAAUUCCACUUGAGUGUGGAGUAAAAAUUGUUCAUAUUUUUGUCAAGAGGUUCGCUUAUUGUAAUUCGGAAGCCCUGUCUUGUGCGUGAGCUCCAGAACGGUUUGUAUACUUAGAAAAGGAAGUCCACCUAUUAAGAUAGAGCGGUUAAUUUACUGAAAAACCUAAU